rnacentral:rRNA from 1 species
ACGAACGCUGGCGGCGUGCUUAACGCAUGCAAGUCGAACGGUAAGGCCCCUUCGGGGGUACACGAGUGGCGAACGGGUGAGUAACACGUGAGCAACCUGCCCUUGACUCUGGAAUAACAGUUGGAAACAGCUGCUAAUACUGGAUAUUCAUCGUCUCCUUCCUGGGGGGUGGUGGAAAGCUCCGGCGGUCAGGGAUGGGCUCGCGGCCUAUCAGCUUGUUGGUGAGGUAAUGGCUCACCAAGGCUUCGACGGGUAGCCGGCCUGAGAGGGCGACCGGCCACACUGGGACUGAGAUACGGCCCAGACUCCUACGGGAGGCAGCAGUGGGGAAUAUUGCACAAUGGGCGCAAGCCUGAUGCAGCAACGCCGCGUGCGGGAUGACGGCCUUCGGGUUGUAAACCGCUUUCAGUAGGGACGAAGGGUGACUGACGGUACCUACAGAAGAAGGACCGGCUAACUACGUG